GGAGGUGAGAAGGGGAGAGAGAGUGGUAACAAUGGUGGAAGGUCAGAAACAAGAGAGGUGUCCUUCAAAAUGAGCUUCACGCCUGCAAAACAGUGAAAUAGAGGUUAGAGGUGAAGCCGGGGUACCCCGGCGUUCACACUCCGACGCUCAAGUUAGCAAACUCAAGCUUUUAUGGCAAAGAGAGCUAGCUAGCCCUCUGUAAAUUAGGGUUUAAGGUUGAAGAAAACCUAUUUUUUGGAGUGUGAGUGUUUUUGGGCGAAUGAGAGCAUGAUGGAGAAUGAAACCUAGGCACCUUUAUAUAUGGAGUACCUCUGCUGCCACGUGGCGUACCCUUUUUGGCUAACGUCCUUUUACCUUUUUAUGAUUUUUGGGCCGUUAUGUGCAUGUUCGCGGCGUAUCUCAUCCUUUGGAAACGUGGCGCGCGCUGGAGAGUGGUCCAGGGUACCUCUGCAGUAACUGUCGGGUAGGCGGCUGAGGACCACUGUCCUUGGGACAGUGUCAUUUACUUUUGGCAGAGGUAGCAGGCGGCUGUCCCCCCCUUUUGGUACGACGUUCUUGAUACCUUAUUCUGACAAAAUCGAAUAAUAUCUUUUAAGAAGUGGAGACGUUUCUCAUGGCGGAUAUUUUCGGAGGAUUCUCUUGCAUCUGAUCUGCCGGGUACCUCGAGUUACGUGGGGUACCUCAAUUUAUAUGGGGUACCCCUAAUUGUGCGGGAUACCUCUAUUUGUGUGGGGUACCUCUAAUCAAGCAGGGUACUUCUAAUUACGCCGGGUACCUCUAAUCAAGCCGGUGACCUCUAAUUACGCCGGGUACCUCUAAUCAUGCGGGGUACCUCUAAUCAGGCCGGGUACCUCUAAUCACGCAGGGUACCUCUAAUCAUGCGGGGUACCCCUAAUCAAGCCGGGUACCUCUAAUCAUGCGGGGUACCCCUAAUCAAGCCGGGUACCUCUAAUUACGCCGGUUACCUCUAAUUAUGCACGGUACCUCUAAUCAUGCGGGGUACCCCAGUCUAUGCGGGGUACCUCGAGUUACUCUGGAGUUAUGCGGGGUACUUCUGACCGUGCCGGGUACCUCAAAUCAUGGCAGGUACCUCUAAUCGUGCGGGGUACCUCUAAUCAUGUCGGGUACCUCAGAUUGCACUGCAGUUAUUUCAUUCGUCGACACAUGGCGUUCUGCUAUCUUUCUUAUUUUUUCCCUAAACAACAUCCCCCUAGUUUCUUUUGGCGAGAAGUAUUGGAGGCAAAAGAAACUUACAUAAAAAGUAGGAGCGACACGUGGCGAUAUGAAGUUUAGCUCAAUGGGCAGCUGAAUAGAGGACGCCUCUAGGGGUACCCUCAUGAAGGAAAGAUCUUUGGAGUGAACAAGACUUUGAGGGGACACUUUGAUGAAGUUUCAGAGGAGAAGGCCCAUAAGGUGGAAGACCCUGAGGAGCUUUAAGUUAAACUUGAGGACUUGGUACCUCGACAGAAGAACAUAGUUGACAAUGCUUUUGAGCGCAUCAUGACCGAGGAAUGGAGUUCUGAUAUGGGGCUGGUGGUGCCAAGAGUAAAGAACUAGGUAGAUAAGCCGGCUAUCUUGAAGGCAAUUGAGAAUAUCAGGGCUUCCCACACAUCUUGGUCUGAAAGCCCAUAGAGAUCAACUGGGGUACCUCAGAUGAAGUCGCCAUAAGGUACCCCUGAUACCGACGCUUGUGUUUCUACUAUUUCUAGCACUUUUGUUGAUCCCCUUAUCCUAAAUGAUGAAGGUGAAGAUAACCAUCUUAGUAUGUAACCUUGUUCGGCAUUACCGACAAGGCGUAUGGGGUACCUCGGGUACCUUUAAGCUUGGAUAUCCCUUGAGCUAUCUGUUACUUCAAGGCGGGAUAACCCAAUUUUAUCAAACAUAUGGCGAUUCCUUCAAAUAUGCUUGCUGCUUAUCUCAGGCUUUCUUAGAGUUCCUCUUGGUGUACACGAGGAAUGAUUUUCUGUCAUAGGGUACCCUGAGUACUAUGGGUACCCUUAAUCUUGUCUCAUCAGUGUAUCGCGGUUUACUUAGACAUGCUUGUUGCGGUUAAUUCAUGGCGGAACAACCCAAUUUCAUCACACAUAUGGUGAUUCCUCCGGAUAUGCUUGUUGCUUAUCUCAAGCUUUCUUAAGGUUCCUCUUGGUGUAUUUGAGGAGUGACUUUCUGGCGUGGGGUACCUCGGAGAUACCCUUAAUUAGUGUAUGACGAUUUUCAUAGAAAUGCUUGCCGCAAAUCUUCACAAAACUUAUGGCGAUUCCUUUUGAGAGAUGAUGGAAAACCUCAUGAUCCACCAUUCACUCUACAUCAAAUAUGCAAGACAAAUAGUAAUAAAGGUGGACUGCUGGCCUACCUUUAUGCAAGAUGGUCAAAAAUCUCAUGAUCCGCCAUUUGCGUAGAAUCAAAUAGACAACAUAGAUUGAGAUAAAGGUGGCUGCUCGCCUACCCUUAUGCGAUAUGGUCGAAAAGCUCAUGAUCCACCAUUCGCUAGAAUCAAAUAGACAACAUAAAUUGAGAUGAAGGUAGCUGCUCGCCUACCCUUAUGCGAGAUGGUCGAAAACCUCAUGAUCCAUCAUUCGCAUGGAAUCUAAUAGACAAUAUAAAUAAAGAUGAAGGUGGCUGCUCGCCUACCCUUAUGCGAAAUGAUUGAAACCUCAUGAUCGACCAUUCGCUCAGAAUCAAAUAUGGCGAACAAAUAAUGAUAAAGGCGGCUCUGAUGUUGAGUAGAUUAUCAUAAUUGGAGAUAGGUCAGGUACCUUGGGUACCCUGGAGUAAGAUGAUCUCUGCAUACCCUCUUGCAUCAUAAUAAAUAAUACUUUUACUAGUAGUAUGACUUUUCUUUAUUGGAUUGGUGGCCCAAAUCGAGACUGAAACCGAGUCUUCAACCGGGGUACCCCGUUUUUCAUCUUUGGGUAUUCGAGGAUCCAAAGGUGCCUCCAAUUCACAUUUGGGCUUAAUUCGUUCCCCGUGGGGUACUCCCGCAUAACUCUAGAGUAACUAGUUAUGGGGUACCCUACCACCGAGGCCUCGGUGGUGGCUCUUGCUGCUCUGGUGGUGGCGAUCUUGGAGGUUGGGGUACCCGUGAGAUACUCUGAGUGUUAAACACCCAUCCCCGCGCGGCAACCCGUGGAAGGCUCCGCAUUCAGGAUACCCUUAGUAUUAAGGUAUCUGAGGCAUGGUGAAUGCUUCAUGAAGAGCUGCCGUCCAAAUCUCUAUAGUGAACGACGAUUGGUAGGUCAUCGGCGUUGGAGCAGCUGUGAUGUUUUGCUUCUCGGAGAGGAGCUUCACAUGGGCUUCCAGGUUUUCCAUCUUUUCCACAAGUUCGAGGGGUACCCUCGGUGUACCCAAUGAUGUCGCCGCCAUUUGAGAAGCCCUUUUGGCGUUUAACUUCUCACGGAGAUCUUCGUGGGUACGCUUUGCACGCCUCGUACCUUGGCUGCUGCGGGAAUUGCAAGAGGCGGUGGAACGCUCGUCGCGGGAGCCCACGGUUUGAAAAUUAGAACGGGUACCCGAUGGCCUAUGCUUUGGUUUGCUGGCCUCGGGUACCUCUUUUUUUACCAUAGCUUGGUCGCUCGUUUGAGGUGGUGGAGCAUCUAGCGUCACUGGUGGAAGUGAACUUUAGGGUGCCCGAGAUCCAACCGCCCUAAGUAUUCUGUGGGCAAGAUCCUCGAAACGCUUGUGAGAAAUAGGUUCCUCCUCUUGGCGAACACCCGUCGAUUGCUUGAUACCCUUUCCCUUGUUGAUGCGGGCUACCCUUCUUGUAAGAUCACUACCUUCAUUGCUGCCAUCAUCUCUCAUCCUUGUAGGAUCCCCCAUUAAACCUUCGGGAGGUACGUCGGGUGCCAUGUAUUGGAGUACACACAACAACUAGUUUGGUAACCGCGGAGAAGGCUUUUUGUGCGACUCCCCACAAACGGUGCCAAUUGUUUGCGGCUGAUUUUGGGUCAAUGAAUAAAAAACCACAAAACCAACCCAAGAGCAAUAAAUUUAUAUUUUUGUCGAGGAGCGGGGUACCUCGCUUGUUCGGCACGUGCGAGCUGUUCAGGCUUUUUGUGGAGUGAAGGAGGAUUGAGAUGACGGUAGAUAUGGAGGGGGUCUAACUUCAGGUGUGGAGGGCUGGUGAAACUCGCCUUAAACCUGCGAAACAACCAAAAACGAGGUCAGAGGUGGAGCCGGGGGUGGCCGGCGACCACACUCUGACGCUCAAGUCAGAGUCGGGUUAUCUCAGGUUAGAGAGCUUGCAAGCUCUUGGUAAUGGAGGUUUUGAGGUUGAAGAAACCCUCGUUUUCUUUUCGUGGUGAGUGUGUUCACUCCUUUGAUAAAAAUCAAACCUGAGUAUUUAUAUGGUGUACCCCGGUCGCCAUGCCACAUGGCGCUAUUUUAGUGGUGUUCCCUGCUGUCAUGUCAGAAAUAUUCUUAUUUUCAUGCGUAUGGCGGCUUUGGCAUUUCAAAAAUAUGCGUGGAGAGCAAGUUUGUGGCGUAUUCACGUGCUGGGCGUAGUGGAGUGGUCACCCGACUUUAAACAGUAACACGAUUUGACCCGGAUGAACAGUAAUGCGGUUUGGUUGAAAAUAAUCCUGUGUGAUGCAUGCACCGUACGCGAUAUUUUUCGUCCACUGAUAUGCUGCCACGUCACCGUCAACAGUACAUAAGAAUUUUAGUCCAACAGGAUCGUUACACCUCAUCAGUCAAUGCCACAUCAUCGGUCAAUGCCACGUCAUCGAUCCGUCUAUGUGAACAGUGCCAUGAACAGUAACAUAUACAGUACCGUCUACGUGAAUAGUACCGUACAUGUGAAUAGUGUCAUUUUUCCUUUCAUGCUCCUCCUAAGGUUUUCAACCGUCCUGAGUUCAAAAGUGAUGCUCUUUUUGCCAUCUGAUCUCUCGUUUAUUGUGGAAUGACUAUGAUGCCCCUAAAAUACAUAAAAUACUUAAUUAAAAUAAAACACAUGUAAUUAAAUCACAAGAAGGUUAAAUACAUAAAAGUAAGGGUUGUUAGUAAGACUUGAAAUGUAAAAUGACGGUUUUCUCCUUUAUAAAUAUGCAUUUUCUAACACUCAACAUCAGGUGCCAUGUAUUGGAGUACUCACACACAACAACUAGUUUGGUAACCGCGGAGGAGGCUUUUUGUGCGACUCCCCACAGACGGCGCCUGUUGUUUUCAACUGAUUUUGGGGUAGGAAAAUCCAAAAUCAAUCUUGAACAAUGAAUUUAUAUUUUUGGGGGAGAUGGGGUACCUCACUAGUUUAUUGUGUGCGGUGCGGUGUAUCUGAAGUUCGGGGGAGGUGAGAAGGGGAGAGAGAGUGGUAACAAUGGUGGAAGGUCAGAAACAAGAGAGGUGUCCUUCAAAAUGAGCUUCACGCCUGCAAAACAGUGAAAUAGAGGUUAGAGGUGAAGCCGGGGUACCCCGGCGUUCACACUCCGACGCUCAAGUUAGCAAACUCAAGCUUUUAUGGCAAAGAGAGCUAGCUAGCCCUCUGUAAAUUAGGGUUUAAGGUUGAAGAAAACCU
rnacentral:lncRNA from 1 species